rnacentral:rRNA from 1 species
UAUUGGUCAAUAGCCUAACGGCUGAACCAGCAACUUGGAGGAAUGUAUAGGGAAACCUGGUAAAAUGAGAGUACCUAGUAAUAUUAGUGAUUAAUAUGAGAUUAACUUUGUUAAUUAAAAUUCAAAGUAGAUGUGUGAUUAUGACAAUAUCUGCUUAGGUCUUGACCAAGUCACGUGCCAGCAGUCGCGGUAAUACGUGGAAGACGAGUGUUAUUCAUCUUUAAAAGGUUUAAAGGGUACCUCGACGGUUAAUUAAGCAAAGAAAUGUACUAAUUAACUAGAGUUUAAUGUAAGAAGGAUUGAGUACGGUGAGUGGAGAGAUAAAAUUCUUUGAUACCACUUAGGAACUGGUAAAGGCGAAGGCAACCUUCUAUGUAAAAACUGACGUUCAGGGACGAAGG